GGCAGUUCUCAGGUGAUGCGCCCUGGAAUUGGGCUCUGUCCUCUCUGGUUCCGAGAGCAUCACCCAAGAACUGCA
rfam:Myotis brandtii contig151982, whole genome shotgun sequence.